rnacentral:rRNA from 1 species
UUAACCUUCGGGAGGGCGCUUACCACUUUGUGAUUCAUGACUGGGGUGAAGUCGUAACAAGGUAACCGUAGGGGAACCUGCGGUUGGAUCACCUCCUUACCUAAAGA